AACGAACGCUGGCGGCAGGCCUAACACAUGCAAGUCGAACGCCCCGCAAGGGGAGCGGCAGACGGGUGAGUAACACGUGGGAACCUUCCCUAUAGUACGGAAUAGCCCAGGGAAACUUGGAGUAAUACCGUAUACGCCCGAAAGGGGAAAGAAUUUCGCUAUAGGAUGGGCCCGCGUAGGAUUAGCUAGUUGGUGAGGUAAUGGCUCACCAAGGCGACGAUCCUUAGCUGGUUUGAGAGAACGACCAGCCACACUGGGACUGAGACACGGCCCAGACUCCUACGGGAGGCAGCAGUGGGGAAUAUUGGACAAUGGGCGCAAGCCUGAUCCAGCCAUGCCGCGUGAGUGAUGAAGGCCUUAGGGUUGUAAAGCUCUUUUGGCGGGGACGAUAAUGACGGUACCCGCAGAAUAAGUCCCGGCUAACUUCGUG
rnacentral:rRNA from 1 species